AGGGGAGACUGGAAUUCCUGGUGUAGCGGUGGAAUGCGCAGAUAUCAGGAGGAACACCGAUGGCGAAGGCAGGUCUCUGGGCCAAUACUGACACUGAGGAGCGAAAGCGUGGGGAGCGAACAGGAUUAGAUACCCUGGUAGUCCACGCCGUAAACGGUGGGCGCUAGUUGUGCGAACCUUCCACGGUUUGUGCGACGCAGCUAACGCAUUAAGCGCCCCGCCUGGGGAGUACGAUCGCAAGAUUAAAACUCAAAGGAAUUGACGGGGCCCCGCACAAGCAGCGGAGCAUGCGGCUUAAUUCGACGCAACGCGAAGAACCUUACCAAGGCUUGACAUAUACAGGAAUAUGGCAGAAAUGUCAUAGCCGCAAGGUCUGUAUACAGGUGGUGCAUGGUUGUCGUCAGCUCGUGUCGUGAGAUGUUGGGUUAAGUCCCGCAACGAGCGCAACCCUCGUUCUGUGUUGCCAGCAUUUAGUUGGGGACUCACAGGAGACUGCCGGGGUUAACUCGGAGGAAGGUGGGGAUGACGUCAAAUCAUCAUGCCCCUUAUGUCUUGGGCUGCACGCAUGCUACAAUGGCUGGUACAAACGGCUGCGAUACCGCAAGGUGGAGCGAAUCCGAUAAAGCCAGUCUCAGUUCGGAUUGGGGUCUGCAACUCGACCCCAUGAAGUCGGAGUUGCUAGUAAUCGUAGAUCAGCAACGCUACGGUGAAUACGUUCCCGGGGCUUGUACACACCGCCCGUCACAUCACGAAAGUCGGUAACACCCAAAGUCAGUGGCCCAACCGCAAGGAGGGAGCUGCCAAAGGUGGGAUCGGUGAUUGGGAUGAAGUCGUAACAAGGUA
rnacentral:rRNA from 1 species